GAUGAACGCUGGCGGCGUGCCUAAUACAUGCAAGUCGAGCGAACAGACGAGGAGCUUGCUCCUCUGACGUUAGCGGCGGACGGGUGAGUAACACGUGGAUAACCUACCUAUAAGACUGGGAUAACUUCGGGAAACCGGAGCUAAUACCGGAUAAUAUAUUGAACCGCAUGGUUCAAUAGUGAAAGACGGUUUUGCUGUCACUUAUAGAUGGAUCCGCGCCGCAUUAGCUAGUUGGUAAGGUCACGGCUUACCAAGGCAACGAUGCGUAGCCGACCUGAGAGGGUGAUCGGCCACACUGGAACUGAGACACGGUCCAGACUCCUACGAGAGGCAGCAGUAGGGAAUCGUCCGCAAUGGGCGAGAGCCUGACGGAGCAACGCCGCGUGAGUGAUGAAGGUCUUCGGAUCGUAAAACUCUGUUAUUAGGGAAGAACAAAUGUGUAAGUAACUAUGCACGUCUUGACGGUACCUAAUCAGAAAGCCACGGCUAACUACGUG
rnacentral:rRNA from 1 species